UAUUUUGUUGGAGGGAGAUGUAGAGAAUCUCUCCCUCUCUCUCUAUCUCUCCCCCUCUCUCUAUCUCUCCCCCCCUCUCUAUCUGUUUCUAUGUUCCUUUUUUGCUUCGUGGGUUUUCUCUAAUCUCUGUUUAGUGGUUAGCAUCAAAGAAACUGUGAAAAGUUGAAGGAUUCAAAUGAUGAAACUUGUGUCUGGAAUCAAAUCAUAUAAGGGAACGUUUUUACCCUUUUCUUGGGUUAUCUUGAUGUCAAACUAUCGUACUUUUGUUGCUUAGAAACUUGAGGAUUGUAUGGUUGUUUCAUUUUCUUUGUCUUCUUUCUUCAUUGAUUGAACAUUAUGAGGAGGGAACUCAUUCAUAAACGACCUUCAUGUUUUAUAUGCUAGUGCCUUUGCCAAGCCUAAAAAAAUCUUAAACCCUAAGAGAAGAAUGAGGAUCCUACUCGGUUUAUAUUUGAAUACAUGAACAUCUUUAUCAUUUCUCUUUAAUUUUUUAACAUUUUGAAACUCUUUGCUAUUGAUUUGAUCAAAGUGUCAUCUUUUAGAAAACACACCCAUGUUUUAAAACCCA
rnacentral:lncRNA from 1 species